rnacentral:rRNA from 1 species
UACAGAGGUCCCAAGCGUUGUUCGGAUUCAUUGGGCGUAAGGGGGUGUAGGUGGCGCCGUAAGUCGGGUGUGAAAUUUCGGAGCUUAACUCGGAAACUGCAUUCGAUACUGCGGUGCUUGAGGACUGGAGAGGAGACUGGAAUUCAUGGUGUAGCAGUGAAAUGCGUAGAGAUCAUGAGGAAGACCAGUGGCGAAGGCGGGUCUCUGGACAGUUCCUGACGCUGAGGCACGAAGGCCAGGGGAGCAAACGGG